GAGACCUUGCACUUUUGGAGCGGCCGAUGUCUGAUUAGCUAGUUGGUGGGGUAAUGGCCUACCAAAGCUUCGAUCAGUAGCUGGUCUGAGAGGACGGCCAGCCACACUGGGACUGAGACACGGCCCAGACUCCUACGGGAGGCAGCAGUGGGGAAUUUUGGACAAUGGGCGCAAGCCUGAUCCAGCCAUGCCGCGUGAGUGAAGAAGGCCUUCGGGUUGUAAAGCUCUUUCAGCCGGGAAGAAAAGGUUGCGACUAAUAAUCGCAAUCCAUGACGGUACCGAAAGAAGAAGCACCGGCUAACUACGUGCCAGCAGCCGCGGUAAUACGUAGGGUGCGAGCGUUAAUCGGAAUUACUGGGCGUAAAGGGUGCGCAGGCGGUUUUGUAAGUCAGAUGUGAAAUCCCCGGGCUUAACCUGGGAACU
rnacentral:rRNA from 1 species